rnacentral:lncRNA from 1 species
GCCAAUCGAUAUAUACUUCAAGACCCUUUAAAUUGCUCUUGCCUCGUUUUCACUCGGUAGUGAGAUUCAAUACCUUCUGGUAAAAAUAAAUAAGAUAACUAGAGAGAUAAGCAUAAGGCAAACAUAAACUAUAAUUUCUUGCCGUGUUUCUAGUUUAAAUCAGAGCCCUCGAGAAUUAUUCUUGUAUGAAAUAUAACAUAAAAUAUAAAGAAAAUGCGCAAGUUAAACAAAAAAUUAAGUAACAUUAAAUGAUAAAUAGUCCUUGAGGCCCUAAACACAAAAACGAAAUAUUAGGCUUACAAAGAACUAUAAUCGAAAGAAAAAACUACCUGAAAACUUACCGACAUUGGCUAUCUUUAAAGCCAUAGGUAAUUAUCGACAUGGUACUUUUACUUGUAGAAAAUCUGACCUUAGUACCGUCAAAAUUAUAAGAACAUAGACAUCAAAACACACAUUCAUACAAUACGGAGGAUUGCAGGCAAUGAGAAAAUUGAGUGUUUCUAGAUUCCCAAUGUAUAGAAUACAUUUUCCUGCUAAAUGACACAGAUAUAAAUUAAGACAAAGAAAUAGAAAAAGAAAUAGAAUUACAUUAGAAGCAGAGACAUUCUUUGUUGGUGGUAGAAGAGAACAAAUGAUAAAAUUCUAUUUUUUUUUUUCUAAACAUUCAUCACAAACUAGUAUUUUGCUAAAAUUGUUUCAUUUAUUCAGCAUGAACGAAUUAAAAUUGCUAAAUUCUAAUUUAAAACAUAUAAAAUUUUAAUUUAUUUAAUGUAAUACAAUUUCUCCUCUUCCCACAAUUACCAUAUCCCAUGUCGAACAACCACAAGGAUCAAUAGCCAACAUAUCCAUAUUGAACUAUUUAUCACCAUAAAUUAGGGGUUUAGGGUUUGGAUUUCAAUUAUUAGGAUGAAAAGAGUUCGUAAGGAUGGGCGUUGAAUCCAUUACCGUAACAAAGGGAAUUGAUCGGAUUACCUUCGAACAAAGUGUUUUUUUCUUCUUCUGCAUCGUUGCUUCUUCUGUGCCGUUGCUCGAAGAAAAACCACAAAGUAGGUUUUUUCUCUAACAAUAGAGUUUGAGUUGGGAACUCGAUCGACUGGGGUGAAAAUAAU